rnacentral:rRNA from 1 species
GAUGAACGCUGGCGGCGUGCUUAACACAUGCAAGUCGAACGAAGCACUUUAUUUUAUUUCCUUCGGGACUGAUUAUUUUGUGACUGAGUGGCGGACGGAUGAGUAACUCGUGGGUAACCUGCCUUGUACAGGGGGAUAACAGUAGGAAACGGCUGCUAAUACCGCAUAGGGGCACAGCAUCACAUGAUGCAGUGUGAAAAACUCCGGUGGUAUAAGAUGGAGCCGCGUUGGAUUAGGUAGAUGGUGAGGUAGCGGCCCACCAAGGCGACGAUGCAUAGCCGACCGGAGAGGGUGACCGGCCACAUCGGGACUGAGACACGGCCCAAACUCCUACGGGAGGGAGGAGUGGGGAAUAUUACACAAUGAGCGAAAGCCUGAUGCAGCGACGCCGCGUGAGCGAAGAAGUGUUUCGGUAUGUAAAGCUCUAUCAGCAGAGAAGAUAAUGACGGUACCUGACUAAGAAGCACCGGCUAAAUACGUG